rnacentral:tRNA from 2 species
GGCUCGGUGACAGAGUGGUGAUGUAGCGGACUGCAACUCCGUGCACAGCGGUUCGAUUCCGCUCCGAGCCUCCA